ACUGCAGAAAUUUCCUACUGCGAAAUAGGAAAUGCGCCAGUAAGACUACUUGUCAGUGGCAUUUUAAUCCGGGCCACAACAGCAGAAGAUCGAAACUCCAUAUGUACAAUUAAUUUGAGUACGACCCGUUACAGCUGCAUGCAUUAUAUGCUUUUCCUGAUCUAUUGAGUUCUCUGGCUUCUGGAGGUGGCUCUCAGCGUCAACCAUCAGCGAGCUGUUAGAGGAUCGUCCUCCUCACCACCACAAGCUGAUACAUCAUACAGAUUGAUUAGGAUGAAGUUAGACAAAUCUCUAGACAGUAUAAAGAUCAUGAAUCAGAGCAAACGUGGCAGCUUUUUUAGGUAAAAAGGAACAUGGCGAUGACAUGGAACAACACAGAGGUUGUAAAUUUGCAAUCUCCUAAAGUGCUGAAGAUAUGUGGAAAGGGGCAAGGAACAUCAGCUGCAGCUCCAGCUUAUUUGUAACAAAAACAAAUUACUACAUAAUUUGAAGACAGGACUGCAAUUAGCUAUAGCUCGUAUUUUGUGCAAAAGAAGAUAACGUAAAAAAAUGAAAAGAAGAAGAUAACAUAAAUUUUGAAAUAACAGACAGAGACAAACCAAAGGUUCGGUCACUAGAUUACACUAUUCAUGUAUAUGUGAUGGACUAGUUGGGAUAGGAAAAUGGUCAUAGGACAGGGUAUUUGGCACGCUCCCUCUUCAAUCCGGCGGCAGGCUCAUCCCUAAUGCAGAAGAGAAACUCUGAGGCUUAUUCAAACUUUUGUUCAUUGAUUGCAUGAAAAAAGGUUAAAAUGCCAGCUUGUUUAUACAGCAUAGCCUUGACCCAAACUAAACUACGUGAACAGCCAAACUGGGUUCUAGCUCACUGGAUGCCUAUGGAGUAAAACCAACCGACUCAAACUAUGUCUUACCUAAAACAAUUCAAACUCUUCUGUAUCUCCAACCUGUCUGUCUAUCUAGAUAUAUAGACCUGCUAUUAUCCCAUCAUACAAGGAUACAACUCUUCAGUUCCUAAACAUCUCAUCUCCUAAUGACUAUCUUCCACCUGUCCAAAUCUCCUUGAUAUUCACGAUAACUUAGGUGUUCCUCCUGCUUGUUUUUCUACGGCCGACCAACCAGCCGUAACUCUUCUACAGAUAAAGGGGUGUGUUUGACCUAAAGCUCAUAACAGUACACCAAGAUUGCCCUUCCAAUUUACAUAUCCAGGGUGUGGUAAUUCUUUCCGCAUCUUUUGCUUAGAAGUUUAUUACUCCACAAAACAACUUUCAUAGGACAUCAUACUAAUUUUGAAACGAGAAUAGGCAGGACGAACUGCCUAUCUUGGACUUAGAAAGUGUGGACUUGACCACCAAGAUCCCGUACGAUACCACUAAGCCACGUAGGUGUCACCUGGACGACACGUUAUGAACACCAAAAUUCUGGACCUUAGCUGUUUCUGACAAUCAACUCAUCAUGGAACCAGAUGCCAAGUGUUCAAUUGAUGUUAUGCACAUACGGAGUAGUUUUUACUGGAUGAGUGUCCAUUUUCUAUAUGCAUUUUUCAAAGCUAUUUGCAGGGUCUAUGCCACCACUCGUGCCUGGCUAGGAUCUGAAAUCGAGUUGUUGAAACUCUUCAUUGUAAGCAUUUCAAGAUGAACAAGGCAAGCCUAUGACCUGCAGCAACUUAUGAUUUUCCUACCAAGCCACCAAGAGUAUCCUCUGUCCUCCAAAAAUUACCCUUUAAUCCAGUCUAUGUACAAUUUCAACAGGCAUGGGGGGAAGCUAGAUACAUCUCCAAUGCUACUGGCCAGAAUCAGGAGGUGCUAAGGGUGUGCUUGGUAAAGGGAAAACCCUGGAUGGGUCAUGGAUAUCUGUUAUGACCGGCAUAUUAGGGGCUUAGCCCAGUGGGCUGUGGCCCAAGUUAUCUUAUUGUUAUUAGGGGCUUAGCCCAAUUAUCUUAUCGUUAUUAGGAUCAUUUGCUUACGAGUCAAGUAAACCUCUCUAUAUAAGGAGAGGAGAUGUAUCAAUCUAAUCAAGCAAAGAAGCAAUCAUUAUUUGCUCGGCUUCCCUUAGGGAGCCGGGAGACCUAACCGUAGCCGCCUCUUGCGCCGCCGCCGCCUCUCCCUCUCGCGCACGACGGCGCCUUGCCGCCGGCGACCGCGAGCUUCGCCACGUCCAGCCCCUCCUUCCCCUACAACCUACGCCCUAGACCCGGUAGGGUCCCAGCUCCUACCAAUAUCCAUCUCGUAUCAGAAGUAUUCAGAUUCUUCAUGAGAGGUAUUCAGGUUUCAGAGGGACAUGGUGACAUUCAAACUCAAAGUAUAGUCAUCCAUUGUUUAGUCUAGGAUGUAAUCUGGCUACGAGGAUUUCAACAAAAAAUGGAUAAUCAGAAUAACCUGAGUCAUUCACACUUGACCACAUGAUGAUUUCAAAUGAUUAUUUUAUCUUCAACAUAUUAAUUCACUAUGUUAAACUAGAAACUAAACAAGUUCACUACUUGUAUCCUGAAAAUGGACUGGUUCACAAUAACACAUCAGUAUUCUUCUACAACAAGAAGAAGAGGCAAUACAUAAGCAUUAUUCAUACAGGCAACACAUGAGAUAUCUCUACACACCACACCUGAACUUGAUACAUGAGAUAUCUUUAUAUACCAGGGAGGACCCCCCUGGAAAAAUAAUCCUAAGGAAAAAGGAAGGACCGUCAAGCUGGUGAGUGAACAAUGAAAUAAUCAAAUCACACAUCCAAUCCAAAAAGUUUGUAUCCCCUACUUCCAAGAAAGCAAGAGCACAAAAUCAAGGGGC
rnacentral:lncRNA from 1 species